rnacentral:misc_RNA from 1 species
GAUUAAGAACGCAGCGAAAUGCGAUAAGUAAUGUGAAUUGCAGAAUUCAGUGAAUCAUCGAAUCUUUGAACGCACCUUGCACCCUUUGGCAUUCCGAAGGGUAUGCUCGUUUGAGUGUCAUUGUACUCUCACACUUCCAAUCUUUGGAUUGGGAGCAGUGGACUUGGGUGUUGCUGCUUACUGUGGCUCACCUCAAAUCGAUUCGUGCACCUCUUGGUUGGACAUAGUACGGCGUGAUAAGUGUCUUCGCCGGCACCUCAGUAGAGGGUGGCUGAUCAGGAGCUCUGUGCUUCAAACCGUCCUCGGACAAAAACUGACAACUUGACCUCAAAUCGAGUAGGACUACCCGCUGAACUUAAGCAUAUCAAUAAGCGGAGGA